GACGCAACGGCGAGGCUGUGCCUUCGUGCCGCUGGAGAGUUGGAGAAGAGGAAACAGGAUAACCAGAAAAAGAUCCAAGGCAAGAAGGUCGAAAUAGAGAGAUACCUCGACGCAUUAAAAAAGUACCGGACCACGAGCGAGGACGACGGUGUGGGAUAUUACGAUGCUUUCAAAUUGCAAAAGAAGGAGGAAGACUUCAAGGCCAACGUAAAGAGACUUGAACUGGCAGCUAUUUGGGACGAGAUUGUUGAAAUGCUAAGACUCAGGCAGCUCCCCGAUGAAUUUGAGGUAGAUAAAGAAUGGGUGGAUCUCGGCACGCGGUUUCGCGGACUUGUGGAGCCACUAGACAUAGCCAACUUCUAUCGACACUCCAGGACGGAGGAUGCAGGUCAUUACAUGAAGGAAGGAAACAGGCCAAGUCGGUACAAAUUUCCUCAAAGAUGGCGAGAACACAAGUACCAGUUGCCACCGAUGCAGCAGUCGCAGCAGUCGCUCAAACAUUUUUAUGGUGAAACCAGUUUCUGGGCCAAGGUGGAGGAGCUCAAAACUAAACCAUGGGAAGCAAUAAAGGACGAGGUUUUGGUUCUGGGGAACCGCCUUACAGAAUGGCACAACAACAAGGAGGUGGAGGAUGAUGUGUUCUUACAAAAGAGCACGCUCGUUGAGUGGUGGCAAAAACUCUGUGAAGACCAUCUUGAGUUGCGCGGCGUUCUUCCGACACCACCGGUCAAGUGAGACUUGUAUUGCUAUUUCUCAAAGUAGCGAGAUACCUUCAGUAUUCGUACAAUAUAUAUGUUUGAUAUGCCUAUUCAUAGGCUUUCUUCGCGGACAUAGUCUUAUCAAGUGUCCUCCAUUUAAUCCACGCUCUUUGACUGUUAUCCAGGUCACUUCAUAGAGAUUAUCUCUUGGAUUCUCCUGCGCACAAUGACGUGGGCUCCUUCCUAUCUCUAUUUCCACCUGCUUCUUCAGACAAAAUAUUUGUAAAGAUUAUUCCAGAUAACUCUUUUAAAAUUGAUCAUAUUAUUAACAGACCAUAAGCUGAAGUCCUGCAACAGAAAUACAUGCCAAGCUGAAAAUUCCGCUUGCUGCUGAAAUGUUGUUUGAGAAGCCAGUCCCAGCAACUCGCUGGCAUCAUGCAAACUGCAAAGACGUUCAUACCCCUUUUCAGCUGAUUGUCUCUGUAAAAGAAAUGUCGUCACUGAAACAAAUUACCCGUCAAAAAACAAAAGGACACCCUCUGAAGUCUUCUUCACGUUCCCGAAGAUCCUGAGCACACGAAAGGAGAAAAAGAUGGAAGAAACCAUAGAAUUGCUCCAGUGAAGAGCUGAUACAAAUAAUGUACAUUAUUGAGCCAUGUAGAAUUCCUUGUUUCCUAUUAGACUCUGCUAUAUAGAGAAAAAGACUAAAACUGAUUGCAGAACCAGCCGAUAGCAUUGCUGUAAAAUCAAAUGGCAUGCCUUCUCUAAUAGGUUGUCCAACAGUACCUCAAUGCAAACUAACCAGAGUUUUGCAUCCAAAAGACAUCAGCUUCCUAUGUAUUAGUGCCUAUCAGCCAAGUCCACCGCACAAAAUGAAGACAAAAACAUUUUUGAAUUGCCAAGGAGAGGCAGAAAAAAAUAGGCAAAACAUUGCUGUACAAGAUAAGAUGGGGGAACAAAGGCACAGCAAAGACCUGAGGGAAUCCUUAGCGCAAAAAAAAAAGGGUUUGCCUAUUGGAAGAACACAAAAAUGCCACAUCUCCAUGUGUCCCAAUGCAUAAGCACGCGCAAGGGAGUGAGGAUGAUGAAAGAGAGGAAGAGAGUCGAGAAUCAGUUACCAAAGACGUACCACCUGAACUUCCAGCUUAAAAGACAGUGCAUGGUCAAGAACCAUUCUCUCCGGAAUGAAACCAAAAAAAGGAAAAACAGAAAACACCUCUUGGUAUGACAUUAGAUACAUCCAGCCGUACUGAAUGAAAGUACAUUUCCCAUAUGCUUACCCGAACUUCAACGACUACCAAACAUGUGCAUGGUCAUGUGCUUCAAAACUAGAGUAAUUCCUAAAGUGGAGGCGAUUCUUGCAUCACUCUAUCAACCUAUUAAGUAACUGCAACAUUUAAGUAAGAUCGACUACAUUGUCAAACAAGGAACCAAACCAAUAGCUUCAAAGCACUAGCUAGAUACCCAAAUCCUAUUAUUUAAAAUACAGAGAUCGAAUUAUGGGGAAACACCAUCCAAAAAAGUAAAUACGAUUAGAAGUGUAUAAAGUUCAAACAGACGAAGGUUCACAAAUGGAUUUCGAUAAUUUUUCUUUCGACUUUUUCGGGGAUCGACCCCUCAACCCUAAGUUACAAUGUCACAUGUCCAAACCCCCAACCCACCCAUGACCACUAGGCCAACUGCCAUAAUUGUAUCUUCACAUAGUAAUGAGAGAUGUACAGGAUUCUUCACUUGAAGAACCUAUUUUACAUACUUCCAGAUGAAAUACUUGUACUAUAAAGAGAAACAUGAAUCGACUCCUACAAUUGUUCCACGACAUCUUGAAUCUUUCAUCGGAUGUGAUUUUGCCUCCAAGAAUAAUCUGUUCCCACUUCGGAAUGUGCAUACUCUUUAAAAAGAUCUUAAGGGUUGAUAGUAAGGAACAUAAGUUUAUGUACUAUUCACUAUUCACAUGAUAUGGAUAGCCAGACAAUAUUGUUCAUACCAAAUUAAUAGAUACACAUCAGCCAUGCUACGUCUGGCCUAUCCAAAGUACGUAUGUAAGGAAUAAUGACGCAAAUUAAAGAAGAAACUAAAUUAAAGACAGCCUCUGACUCUCAAAUCACAAAUACAAGACUUCAUUGGGCUUCUGAAUAUGUACUACUUACCUUCUAGUAAACUAUAUAUUCUUGAGUCUUGACCACCAGGGCCUGUUGGCAGAGCGAAUAGAUCGGUAAGUCCUAGGAUGAAUUCUGGGGCGCGUGUGCAUACAUGAACAUGGUAAAUGGGGAGGGCUAUCUUGUUUUAAACAUGCUGUAAGUUCAUGAUUGGCCAGACCCUUAAUGGACAACAGCAGCAGUAGCAACAAUACCCAAGCCUUGUCUCACCUCGUUAUACAAUGACACUCUGUUUUCUGUCCAUUAAUGCAAAGGAAGUGGGAGUUAGUUACAUGCAACUCUGUCCAGCCAGCAUAUUCAAUGAUUACUGGCACUCUGAAUGUGAUAUCAGCAAUAAAAUGGCAAGAGGAUCUGACACCAAAUGUCUCACCUUGAGAAGGCAAUGCAACUAACUAUAAUUAAGAGAGGAAAGAGUUACAUGCUACCAUCACGAACCACUACGAGAAUUCCAUCUCAAAAGCGGCAUUCCUAAAUCACAUGCAACCUACUUGAAAUACACAUUAUAGAAGGGAUGCACUGUUUACCCGAAGAAUCCAGUUAAGCCAAAACUACUCCAGCUAGACAUCCUAUGUUACAGACAAUCAACCUACAGAUACUUGAAGAGCGUUCAAUGACAGCACAGAUUCACGAGAGAGAGUGGGCUUAGCACAAACGCACAGAUCACUCAAAUCUUUACACCCCUGACCAGAAGGCAAACCACGAGCAGCAGCUUGCAACAGGAGACGCGACAUUCUUGAACACGGAGCGAUUACACCACAGAUUCACGAGAGAGACUGGGUUUAGUACAAACCUGCUCAACACUUAACUAGUUGGAACUCAAUUUGGAUUGUUCGAGACGACGACUUAGGAGUGCAUGACAAACCAAAAUUUCUGUUCCAGAAACAAUUUUUCUAUUUCAGACUUAGGGGGCGCAUGAUAACCAAAAUUUAUGUUCCAUAAAUAAUUUUUCUAUUCCAGAAAUAAUUUUUCUAUUCCAGACCUGUUUCUAGAAUAAAAACCUGUUUGAUAAACCUACUCAAUUUUUCUAUUUCUGGAAUAGAUUUCUAUUCCAGAAAUUGAUUUGGAAGAGAAAUCAGAAAUAGAAAUUUUCUACUUCUGAUUUCUGGAAGAGAAAUCAGAAAUAAUUUCUCCCACUAAACCCUAAUUUCGGUGAGUCCUCCCUCAUCUCCUCUACCUCUGCUUCCUCCUCCUCAUCCGCCUCUCCUCAUUUUAUUAAAAAUAAAAAUAAAUUUAUUAAAAAUUUAUUAAAAAUAAGUAAAUUAUUUUUAUUUAUCAUUUUAUUUUUAUUUUAUUAAAAAUAAAUUUAUUAAAUAUAAUUUAUUUAUGAUAAAUAAAAAGAAAUUAAUUUUCUUUGCCUUGAGUGUUUUGCCAAAUAAAUUUAUUUUUAUUCAUUUUAAAAUAAAUUUAUUCGUAAAAUAAAAUAAAAUAGAAUAAAUAAAAUAAAUUUAUUUUUAAGGAUAUUUUUAUUUUAAAAUAAAAUGAUAUUUUUAUUUUAUGAUUUAUUUUAUUAUGUAUUUUUUUGUUACUAAAUCAUUUUUAUUUUUAUUUUUUAUAUUAAAGGUCGUCAGUCAUCGCCGUCGCCGUUCGAAAGGAAGAAAUUUUGUGUCAUUAUCAAACGAAUUUCUAUUUUUAGAGUAGAAAUUUUGUGUCGUUAUCAAACGGUUAUUUUUGCUUAGAAACUCUUAUAGAAAUAGAAAUAAAAAAAUCUAUUUCUGUUCCAGAAACUAUUUCCGGAACAGAAUAGUUGUCAUGCCCGCCCUUAGUUUCCGGAAUAGAAAUCCGUUUGAUAAAAUUAAUUCAUUUUUCUAUUUCUGAAAUAGAUUUUUGUUCAAGAAAUAUGUUUGGAAUAAAAAUUAGAAGUAAAAUUUUUAUACUUUUCUAUUUUUGGAACAAAAAUGAGAAAUAAAAAUUCUUCUCAUUGUUCGUCCUUGCUACCAACCGGUCAUCCAUCCGUCGCCGCCGUUCGCCGGUUGCUAGUCACCUCUGUCGGUUGUUGCCCAUUGCCUGCCGCCAUCUGCCGGACGCCGCCCGCCACUUGUCUGCCCCCUGCUGCUGUCCGAAAGGGAGAGAUUUUGUGCCAUUAUCAAACGAAUUUCUAUUUUUAGAGUAUAAAUUUUGUAUAUUUAUCAAAUGGGUAUUUUUGUUUAGAAACUCAUCUAGAAAUAGAAAUAAAAAAAUCUAUUUCUUUUCCAGAAAUCAAUUUUUGGCUAGAAUGGUUUUGGGCCAUGUGAGUGAGCUGGACUGUUUUGUUAGGGCCUUGGAUCAGCCAUUUCGGAUCUUGAAGAGGAACACGUUCGUGGGCCUCCAAUUGGUUACUAGAUGGCCCGAAUCAGGGCCUCCACUUUGCACAAAUUGAGAUUAUCAGGAGUGAGUGACUGCAGGUUUUGUAAAGAUUCUAUUUGGAACUUAUCUAUUAAAACAUUUUCCUCAUUUUUUAGAAUUUGGAAACUUUUUUGUAUAACUUGAAAUCUAAAAACCUACUUUGUCAAAGGUUCCAAAGUCGGUUUUCACUUAUAUUAUUAAUUGAACAAUUAUAGUGAAUUAUUAUUUUUAAUGACCAUAACUUAUUACUACAAUUAACUGACCAUAAUUUAUAUUUAGAUAUAUGAAAAAAAAAAUUAUAUAUUAACAUAGUAAAAGUCUCAAUUAUAAAAUAGAAGUUCGAAUUAAUGGUUUCGGAUUGUAUUACUCAUAAUCAAAUGCCAUGGAAUACAGUAGAAUCGUGCAUAGAUAUAGACUAAGAAAAACAUGAAAACUUAGAGGAUCCUUAUCCGGUUUUCAAGUUCCAGAUUCCAUCUUGAAACCAUGCUCACCUGUGUUAAUUACUUUCGAUUGGAGCACCAUGACAAGCGGGUUGCCAUUGAAAUUGGAGCAUAAAUUCGUCGUCGUAAGUGUGACGUUGUCGAUGCCAGUCUCCGUCCGUUUGAUUAACUAUCAAUGAGGAAUCCCUUUUGUUCUCCAUUUUUUACUUUUUCGAAUAUGAUUCUCUGGAAUCGCUUCACAUGCUCAUCAAAAGGCCCGAACCUGUGCAAAAACACGCGUUCAUGUCCAACCUGAGAUGUUUCCUGGCAGAUAUCUUGUUGAACCGGCAAUCGUUGCUCUUGGUCAUCCGGUUGUCAUGAGACUUUGCUAAUCUCGUUGACCCGGCAAUUUUUCGUUCGCAUUGAAGAGUACACGUUUGGGGGACCAGGUUCUGUUGAUUGGGUUACGGAUUACAUUUUAGGAAAUAGACUUCUGCAUUUUCUUUUCGUUUAUUUAUCUUUAUUUAAUGAAAAGUUGAAACACGACUUCCCAUCAAAAUAAAAAAAGUUUUUAGAAGGGUAUGAGUACUUGCAAUAUAGAAUCACUAACAAAAGAAACUUCAGCAUUUCAAAUUAUAAAAGAAAGGCAUCUUCCUUUUUUCUCUCGCAUCUGCGAGCUCUCUCUCUACCCCAUGGUAGCGCACUCCCAUCUUCCGCCCAAACCCUAAUUCAUUGUCCCUGAGUUUUGCUCGCAAUUUCAGGUCCUUCCCCUGCGAUCGUUCUCCCCAGAAUCCGAGAAAGAAAGGAAAAAAAAAAAAAAAAAACGAAACUACAUAUGAAGAAUCCGGAGUAUCGAGAUCCCUUCAGAAAGGAGGAAUGGAUUGGCCGCUCUUUCAGGUGUAGGGCUGAUUCACUGAACUCAGCACUGAUCUAAGCAGAAUCUCCACAAAUCAGUGAGUUCUUCAGUCUUGUCUUGCUUAUGUGACGCACCUGGAGAGGUAGAAGAUAGUAGCCAGGUAAACUCGUAGCCGGAAGGAAUCGAGAAAGCUGAUAGUCUGAGCAUUAUAGAAGAGAUUACUAGUUAGUGACUAUGGAGAGUAAAGAAGAGAAUGAAAUGCGACUGGCAGCAUUAUGCAAAAGUCUAGGGCAUCUGUGGUCGGAGGAAGAUGUAGUCGAAGUAUCUGAUGAAAUACCUCAACAGAAAAUGGAGGAAUGCAGGCGCACUCUAUUCGGAAAGCUAUUUUCCAAACCAAAUGUAAACUAUCCGGCAUUUAUAGCCACAAUGACUAAAGCAUGGAAGGUAGAAGGAGUCAUAUGCUCGCAGAAGGAACCGGGGCUAUUCACUUUCAUAUUCCCUACGGAGGAGGAAAAAUAGCGAAUAUUGAGGAACUCACCUUGGUCAUAUUCAACCAACUUGCUAGUGUUACAGCAGUGUCUUCCAGAAAUCCCAGAGCAUUAUUAUGAAUUCUCAAAGGCUGCCUUCUGGAUUCGCAUUGGAGGAGUCCCCCCUGGCUGGAGAAUAGAGAAAGUUUUCAAUGACCUGGGGAAAAGGUUGGGAAAGGUCAUUGAGUCACUCGACUCAUAAAUCAUGCUCAGAACAAGAGCAGAGUAGAGUCGAGAUCGACUUAACAUUACCGUUGAAAGCGGGAGCUGUUCUGGAUAUGGCAAUAAAUGCCUCUGGGUGGAGUUUAAAUACGAGCGUCUCCCACACUACUGCUUCUCAUGCGGAAGGAUCGGACACUAUGCCACCGACUGUCUCGAAUUUCCAUAUGCAACAUCACCCUGGGCAUUGAACAAAAAAGGGUCAUAUGGACCAUGGUUGAAGGCAGAAACCAGCGACCACAGCCCUUAUUGGGAUGCUUUCUACGGGAAAAUAGAGGAGCUUGUAGUGGAAGAUACUGUACCUGAUCCACCAACUGAACCGAGGGAGAGGAAUUACACUGAGCAAGAGUUGCCAACUGAUAUGCAACUUGUAGUCUGCAGCAAAAAGAGAUCAGAAAGCAGCUCAGAACAGAUAAUAAAUCCAGCAAAAGUUCCUAAUGCAGCAGAAGAUAGAGACCGUGGAAAACAGGUAAUGAGCCUUGAAACUCAAAAUCCACUAGUAUUAAAGAUUGGCAAAAGCAGCAAGAAGACAAUGAAAGUUCAAAAGGCAAAAAAACAGAAAUGCAUGCCAGAGAUAUCAUCCCUCAUCCCAGAUGAUGUAGACCUUCUGGAGAACCCGGUGAAUCUGAUACAGGAAGGACAAGAUUGGGCUUUGGUGGCUAGCCCUAAUAAGCCACCACAAAAGCCAUGAAAAUUGUGAGUUGGAAUUGUCAGGGGCUGGGUACCCCCCUGACAAUCCAGGAAUUAAGAGCUAUAAUUGCUCGUGAAAGGCCCAACAUAGUUUUUCUUAUGGAAACGAAAAAUAAAACAACCAGGGUGGAAAAGAUUUGUAAAAAGCUCCAGUUCCAGCAACUUUAUUUAGUGGAUCCGACAGGAAUAGCGGGGGGAUUGGCAAUUAUGUGGCAUGAGGAACUCAGUUUAAAGGUCCAACACAGCUCACAGCACUUCAUUGAUGUACAGUGCACAGAUCCUAAAAGUAAAAAGAUAAUGCAGAUUACCUUUAUCCACGCAUCUACUGACUUUGGAGAGAGGAUGGCGUUAUGGCAACAGUUGGGAACCCUUAAACCUUCAGGCUCCACUCCCUGGAUCUGCAUGGGAGAUUUCAAUGAGAUUCUAUACAUAUGGGAGAAAAUUGGGAAAAAGGAGGCAGACAAUCGAAGAAUUGCAGCUUUCAGAAAUAUGAUUAAUGAUUUAUCCCUGAUGGAUGUAGAAAGCCACGGAUGCGCUUUUACAUGGGCUAAUAACAGGGAGGGAGACGAGCUGGUAAAAAAGAGACUCGAUCGAGUACUAUGUAAUCUGGAAUGGAGGGUUACCUUUCAUGAAGCAGAAGUCCAAGCCCUCCCUGCUAUAGGAUCCGACCACAGUCCCCUCAUCCUUCGCCUGUAUCCUAUAGUAUACAAAAGGAAAAAACAGUUCAAAUUGGAAACCUUCUGGAUGGAUCAUGCAGAAUAUCAGGAAGUCAUUAAGCAAGUCUGGGAAGAUAUUACAACUCCACAGCAUCUAUUUACAGAAAAAUUAGGGAGGACAUCGAAAGAAUUAACGAAGUGGAGCAAAGAGAAGUUUGCAAAUGCUUAUUCUCAGAUCAAAGAACUUAACCAAGCUUUACAAGCCAUCACUAAUCAAAAAGUUCAACAUACAAGUAGACAGAAAGUGCAGCAUAUUAUCAGCCAAAUAGCAACAUUGAGAAGACAGGAAGAACAAUUCUGGGGAAUGAGGUCACGCAUUAAAUGGCUACAUUGGGGAGACCAAAAUACCAGUUUUUUCCAUGCCACGACAAUUCAAAGGAGACACCAAAAUCGUAUUACAAUGUUGCAAUUAGAGGAAAAUCGUUGGUGCAGAGAACCAGCAACGAUACAACAACACAUUAAAGCUUUCUAUAAAAACCUGUAUAGCUCUGAGGGUCUACGACACUACCAACCGAUCUUAGACCAAUGCCCAUCACCAAUUACAGAGAGGAUUAAUGCAGAUCUGGUGGCAAGACCUCUAUUGGAAGAAAUCAAGGAAGCAGUGUUCCAAUUGGGAGCUCUCAAGGCUCCAGGACCAGAUGGCUUCAAUGGAGCUUUCUAUCAAAAAUCAUGGGUAACUAUAAAAACUGACCUGCUGCAACUUGUACAGGAGUUUUUUAAGACAGGUGUGCUUGACCACAGGCUAAACCAGACCCAUAUUGUGUUGAUCCCGAAAGUAAAAGGCCCUGAAACAAUCAGUCAAUACAGACCCAUCAGUCUGUGUAACUUCAGCUACAAAGUCAUUUAAAAAAUAUUAGCAAACGGACUCAAAAAGUGGUUGUCACUUAUCAUUGAACCAGAGCAGGGAGCCUUCGUCUCGGGGCGGCAAAUACAGGACAACAUCUUCAUUAUUCAGGAAGUUCUGCAUCAGCUGCGAAUAACCAAAAAGAAGACAAAACAUCAGGCUAUUGUAAAGCUUGAUAUGCAGAAAGCAUAUGAUCGCAUAGAAUGGGAUUUCGUGAGGGAUCUAAUGCUGCACAUGGGGUUCGAUGCAAAAUGGGUCUCCUUAAUUAUGCAAUGCAUAACAACAGUUACUUUCAGCUUAAAGAUCAAUGGUGAACCUACCUCUUUCUUCCACCCAUCGAGGGGCCUCAGACAAGGCGAUCCCCUCUCACCCUAUAUCUUCAUCAUGAUAUCCAAUGUCUUAACCUGGAUGUUGAAGAAAGCAUUAGCAGAAGGUACACUAAAAGGAAUACAGGUAAAUAAACAUUGCCCUCAGCUAUCACACUUGAUGUUUGCCGAUGAUGUUAUAUGUUUUCUAGAUGGGACCAUUAUAGAAUGCCAAAACCUUGCCCUAAUAUUAACCCAAUACUGCUAUGCAACGGGACAAACAAUAAAUUUGAAUAAAUCAGGGGUUUAUUUUAGUGGACAUUGCCCAGAAGUUUUGAAACACAAUCUGGCCACACAAUUGAGAGUCCCUAUUCUAAAGAAAACAGGAGAAUACUUGGGCAUACCUACUGAGUGGGGACAAUCCAAAAAAGCGAUGUUUUCGUGGAUCCUGGCCAGAGUAAACUCCAAGUUAGCUGGAUGGAAAGAAAAAAUGCUUACAAAGGCUGGUAAGGAAGUGCUAAUAAAGAGUGUGGUGCAAUCCCUACCUACCUAUGCCAUGUCCAUAUUCAAGCUGCUUGUUUCGAUUUGCCGAGCUAUAGAACAAUGGAUUGCGUCUUUUUAGUGGCAGAAUGGUGAUGCUAAAAGAGGCCUGCAUUGGAAAAGAUGGGAAAUGUUAAAAACUCGAAAAGAUGCAGGCGGCAUGGGCUUUAAGGAUUUGAUUACCUUCAAUCGAGCCAUGCUAGGUAAACAGGCCUGGCGUCUAGUUUCCUUUCCUUCAGCUCUAUGGAGUAGAAUGCUGAAAGGGAUUUAUUUCCCUCAUGGAGAUCUAUGGAAUGCGUCCAAGGGAAAUCGACCAUCAUGGGGCUGGCGCAGCUUAAUGCUUGGCAGAGACACCAUAAAAAGCAAUAUCAAAUGGUCAGUAGGGGAUGGGAAAUCAAUUCGCAUAAGAGAAGACAUGUGGCUAUUACAAGGUAUAAUAGGUGGGACAACAAACCACACAGAGCCUAAAUUUGUGUCUGAACUGAUCAAUUCAGAAUCCAGUGAAUGGAAACAACAACUGAUCUACCAUCAUUAUGAAGAAAAAAUUGCAAACGAAAUUGUAGCAAUUCCCCUACAUCAGCAACCAAAGCAAGACACGCUUAUAUGGACAGGCAAUGGUUCUGGACAAUAUUCUGUCAAGAGCGGAUAUAAUGAAGCAAGAAAAUCCACUAGCAACACAGAUAUGAACUGGCCUUCAUGUUCUUUUCAACCGCCACGUACCUUGUGGACACAAAUUUGGAGUCUUGAUGUGCCUCCAAAGGUUCGUUUCUUCAUCUGGAGUCUCUGCCAAAAUGCCCUCCCGACGAAGGAAAAUCUAUACAGAAGAAAAAUUGUAAGUGACCCACGAUGCCCGGUAUGCUGUUCGAGUAUGGAAACUACAGAGCAUUUGUUGUUUCUUUGCAAGGGGACAAAGCAAGUAUGGCAAGACCUGAUUUUUGAGCAGAUCAGGCCAAAUAACAGUAUCAAUCGCACGGAUCAGUGGAUUUUAAAAGCAUUCCGAAGAGAUCAAAACUCAGCCGAUCGUGAACUCAUUAGCCUGAUCCUGUGGAACAUCUGGAAGGCCAGAAACAACCGGAUCUUUCGUGCAAAGGAACCCCAACCAGCAGAUCUGUUGAUAAUAGCAAAGGAACAACAGUACACGCUAAGUACGGGUAGAUCGAAAAAAAGCGAGCGAUCUCUCAACCAAAACUCACCCGUUCACUGGAGGCCUCCGGAAGGGCAAAAUCUGAAGCUGAACGUAGAUGCAUCGUGGAGACCCGGCGAUUUCCUCUGCUCUGUCGCCGGUAUCGUAUGAGACGCAACUGGAAGGGUUCUUGACGGCUUCGCGGCCACAGCUAGGGUUUCCUCGGCAGGUGAAGCGGAAACUCAAGCACUUUCACACGGGAUAUCGUUUAUGCACGAACUCAAGACGAAUCAUGUGCGGGACUUUGGAAGCCGAACUGGAAGAUAAUUCAUAGAAAGUGAUUGUUAUGCGGCGGUAGAAAUGGUCAUGGGCCGGGCCGCAUCUACAUGGGACCUUAAAGAAAUCGUCCACAGGUGUAUGCAUGGGCUUCAGCAGAACAACAACUUCACGGUGAUUUAUACCCCACGACAAACUAACGCAGCGGCGGAUUGGAUUGCUCGACACCAUCGACAAAACACCCUACCACGUAAUUGGGUGUCUUCCCCCCCUCUUCCCCUAUGGAAUAUAUUAUGCGCAGAUCUUUCCCCAUCUGUGGGUUGUAAGACUUUUCUUUAAUCAAGUAAUAGUCACUUCUAUUUUGACCAAAAAAAAAAAAAUNNNNNNNNNNNNNNNNNNNNNNNNNNNNNNNNNNNNNNNNNNNNNNNNNNNNNNNNNNNNNNNNNNNNNNNNNNNNNNNNNNNNNNNNNNNNNNNNNNNNUGAAGCAUAAUCCCGAUGUCCCAUGACAGUGAUGACUUCAUGUGCGAUCGAUAUCAUUGCUCGCAUGCUAUGAAUCUCAUCCUACUGAUGCCAUGUGUGUAUAGUUUGUACACAUCUUAUUCUUGAUUGGUAAAUUGCACCACAUGUCACUAUGUGAUAGAUCCAUCGCGUGAAAAUACCUUCUUGAUUCAAAAUUACGGUACUUUUUAUUUUCUUUUAUUUUUGAAGAGUUGGGAACAUGGCCAUUUAUCCAAAGCUGAACACCCUAAAGUCGCAUAUACAUUCUUAUCGUUAUCUUUUGGUAUAUUAAGCAUUAAGUUAAGAAAGAAAUACAAUCUCUAACUUUUUUUUUCUUUUUUCCAAAUAGGUAAUCUCCACUUCUCAAGUGGCUCCACUUUGAUUUCUCUAAUCAGAACCCGAAUUGUAUCGUGCCUACCCAAGAGAUAACUUUAACUCCUAUUAAAUAACUCUAUGCAACUUGUAUUUACUAAUUAAAAACAAGACUGAGGUCGUAUAUGCAUUGGCUCAACCAUCAUCCAAAAGACAAGUCAAGAAUAAUUCGAGUCAAUAAGCGCUCGAUUGCCCAAAACAUCACCAGCCUCGCACCCUAUUCCGCCAAUCCCAGCCGCUCGAUGCAAAGACUCAUGGGGGGCCCACCCGCGUGAUGGACGAUUGAGAUCAUUUGAGGCUCGUGUUCCGUCGCCCCAACCGAACGAUUGUCGAAGGGACAUUUGAGGAAACUUCAACCAAAACUCCAUGUGGCCUGUACCUUUCCUCUCCCAGCCACCAAACAAGCACAUUUUGCAGAAAGAGAGAAGCUCACAUAGAAGAACAUAACACAUUUACACACAGACCACGGACAUGUUCAGCAAUCUUGGGACCCGAGAUGAAGUGAUCAAGGCAGCGUUGUCUGCAUCCAUCGAAGCUCGUGACGAUCGACAGGAGCUGAACAUUCGCAACAGCUCUUCGGAGGUCAUCGUGGCCUUCCCCGGAUCAUGGUCUCCCGAGGACUGGUUCCCUAAAGACAGCAAAGCCGAGCCCUUCGGAGAUGACCAGAUCGACCGCAAGAAGUUCCCUUCUCUCAGGAGCAUCGGCAAGGAUGAGGACGCCAGGGUCAACAAGGCGUUCAUGGAGAGAUUCCUACGUAUUCUGGAUGAUGGAAGCAGAAGGCUCCGCUCCGAGGUAUUCUCGAAUCUCGAAUGAUGCUUUGUUUUAGCCGUUGUUUCAAUGCGUCGAAGAGUCGGUAGUAAUAAUUCUCGGAUAGCAAUUUUAAGGCCAUUUCUAGAGUUCACAAAGUUUGAUUUGAAAAUCAGGAAACUCGAGUAGUGCCUACUUUUGCCUUCCGUAGAAACUGUCGACGGAACACUGUAGAUCAGAAACUAGAGCUUGCACUAGUAAUUUAGUCAUUACCACACAUCCUCUACCAUUGAAACUCUCAGCCUGUUCUGUACUUUCCCUCAAGUCAUAGCAUGUGACGAAAAUUUAGGUACAUAGAUCACAUGACAAGCACGAUCUGGUGUGCUUCAGUUUGCAAUUUACCGUGCGGAGUCAUCAACUUUUUACCUUGCGAAGGUAAAUCCCCGCGUUGUGCAGACCACUUUGUAAAUGUUGUCUCCAAUAAUUGGAAUUUGAAGAACACUCUCUCCAAUUCCAUUGGACAAUAACAAUGACAUAGAUGGUCUAGUUUAAGUCUCUCUCAACCUACCAUUAACAGUAACAGGACGUUCAUCAUUGACCGAGCAUCAUUGAAGCAGGUAAAUAAACAGUCAGAAAUGAACCUGAACUUGUCUUUGAUUUUCAGGUGAAAAAGGCGUUGGACGAUAAUAAGCAGAUAAUAUUUACAGGCCAUUCAUCGGGCGGUCCAAUCGCGAUUUACGCGACUGUUUGGUUCCUUGAGGAGCACAAAAAAUCAAAGAAAGAGGAGACUCCCCAUGCUUUCUGUUUAACAUUCGGGUCCCCAAUUACCACCGACCGCACCUUUGGCCACGCCAUCCGGCGUGAGCGUUGGUCUGACCACUUUGUCCACUUUGUUACGAAACUCGACAUUGUUCCCAGGAUUCUACUCGCUCCUUCCUCCUCUACGAAGGAGUUGCUAAAAGAAAUCUCCUCUUUCUCUGACCCGCGUCACAAACCCACUACAAUUGACAACUUGACUUCCUUUUUUGUGAAAGUGGUGAAGAAUGCAUCAUGUGUUGCAAACUAUGCAGCUUGCCAACUGACGGGAAGCAAACAUACCCUAUUUGACACUAUGUCUAAUUUCAUCAAGCCAAGCCCUUACCGACCGUGUGGGAAUUAUGUCUUUUGCACCGAGAUUGGUAGGUCGGUGGUCGUAAAGAACCCGGAUGCGGUCCUUCAACUGUUGUUUUGCGCUUUACAGAUCGAGUCCGAAAGAGAGCUUCUGAAUAUAGCACAGAAAAGCUUAAGGGCACAUUGGACAUAUAAAGAAGCAGUAGACCAAAGCCUGGCCCCGGCCAAUGUUGUUUAUUUGAAGAACCUCCAAGAAUUGCCUCUUAGCUCAAAUGAUGCCGCAUUAAAUGACCUUAACCUGGUAUAGUCAAUAUUUUAUUUGGUCCAAGGAUUUUAUGUGAAAAAUGAAUUGUCUAGUUCCCUAAUAAUCAUUUAAAUUAUUGUGUUUAUUUGAAGAACCUCCAAGAAUUGCCUCUUAACACAGAUGAUGCCGCAUUAAAUGAACUUAACCUGAUAUGGUUGAUAUUUUGUCUAGUCCAAGAAUUCUAUGUGAAAAAUGAAUUGUCUAGUUCCCUAAUAAUCUUUUAAAUUAUUGUGUUUCUUUGAAGAACCUCUGAGAAUUGCCUCUCAGCUCAGAUUAUGCCGCAUUAAAUGAUCUUAACCUGGUGUGGUCGAUAUUUUAUCUGGUCCAAGGAUUUUAUGUGAAAAAUGAACUGUCUAGUUCCCUAAUAAUCUUUUUAAAUUAUUGAGAAAAGGUGAUUGAAUAUUUGACAAUAUAUGAUAUUGUGAUCAUAGGACGCAAAGGUGAGGCUGUGCCUUCGUGCCGCUGGAGAGUUGGAGAAGAGGAAACAGGAUAACCAGAAAAAAAUCCAAGCCAAGAUGGUCGACAUAGAGAAAAACCUCGACGCAUUAAAAAAGUACCGGACCACGAGCGAGGACGACGGUGUGGGAUAUUACGAUGCUUUCAAAUUGCAAAAGAAGGAGGAAGACUUCAAGGCCAACGUAAAGAGACUUGAACUGGCAGCUAUUUGGGACGAGAUUGUUG
rnacentral:lncRNA from 1 species